rnacentral:rRNA from 1 species
AUUGAACGCUGGCGGCAGGCCUAACACAUGCAAGUCGAGCGGAAGAAGGGAGCUUGCUCCUGGAGUCAGCGGCGGACGGGUGAGUAAUGCCUAGGAAUAUGCUUGGCAGUGGGUGAUAACGUCUGGAAACGGGCGCUAAUACCGCAUACUACCUGAGGGUGAUAGUUGGGGUGGUUCGGACAGCACGCUAGCAGGGGAGUCUAGGCCGGAUUAGUUAGUUGGUGGGGUAAAGGCCUACCAAGGCGACGAUCCGCAACUGGUCUGAGAGGAUGAUCAGCCACCCUAGAACUGAGACACGGACCCGACCCCUACGGUAGGCAGCAGUCGGGAAUGUUGGACACUGGACGAAAACCUGACCCAUCCAUGCGGCGUGUGAGAAGAAGGUCUCCGGUUUGUAAAGAACUUCAAGGUGGGGGGAAGGGCAGUAAGUUAAUACCUUGCUGUUUUGACGUUAACAACAAAAUAAGCACCGGCUAACUACGUG